rnacentral:rRNA from 1 species
CCUACGGGAGGCAGCAGUGAGGAAUAUUGGUCAAUGGCCGGGAGGCUGAACCAGCCAAGUCGCGUGAGGGAAGACGGCCCUACGGGUUGUAAACCUCUUUUGUCAGGGAGCAAGGUGCAGGUCGGGACCUGCUGUGAGAGUACCUGAAGAAAAAGCAUCGGCUAAGUCCGUGCCAGCAGCCGCGGUAAUACGGAGGAUGCGAGCGUUAUCCGGAUUUAUUGGGUUUAAAGGGUGCGCAGGCGGAGGCACAAGUCAGCGGUAAAAUCGCGGGGCUCAACCCCGCUCCGCCGUUGAAACUGUGGCCCUUGAGUGCGCGAAGGGUAGGCGGAAUGCGUGGUGUAGCGGUGAAAUGCAUAGAUAUCACGCAGAACUCCGAUCGCGAAGGCAGCCUACCGGCGCGCAACUGACGCUCAUGCACGAAAGCGUGGGUAUCGAACAGGAUUAGAUACCCUAGUAGUC